AGCUACGACCACAGAACGAGGAAAUAUAGGGUAUCCCGUCCGCUCUGCCUUACUCAAGCCUCGUAUCGAUCAAUUAGUAGUAUCGUGGGUGACCAGAUGCGAAUUCUGAUUGUUGUAGUUU
rnacentral:rRNA from 1 species